rnacentral:rRNA from 1 species
UACAGAGACUGCAAGCGUUAUUCGGAUUCACUGGGCGUAAAGGGUGCGCAGGCGGCCGUGUGUGUGAGGCGUGAAAGCCCGGGGCUCAACCCCGGAAUUGCACCUCAAACUACAUGGCUAGAGCAUUGGAGAGGGAAGCGGAAUUCACGGUGUAGCAGUGAAAUGCGUAGAGAUCGUAAGGAAGACCAGUGGCGAAGGCGGGUCUCUGGACAGUUCCUGACACUGAGGCACGAAGGCCAGGGGAGCAAACGGG